GAGGUAACUCAUUGGUAGAGUGCUUAUCUAGCAUUCAUGAGAUUCUAGGUUCAAUUCCCAGAACCACA
rnacentral:tRNA from 1 species